rnacentral:rRNA from 1 species
UGGGGAAUUUUGGACAAUGGGGGGCAACCCUGAUCCAGCCAUGCCGCGUGAGUGAAGAAGGCCUUCGGGUUGUAAAGCUCUUUCGGUGGGAACGAAAUGGGGCGUGUGAACAAUGCGCCUCGAUGACGGUACUCACAGAAGAAGCACCGGCUAACUACGUGCCAGCAGCCGCGGUAAUACGUAGGGUGCGAGCGUUAAUCGGAAUUACUGGGCGUAAAGCGUGCGCAGGCGGUCUUGCAAGCUGGGUGUGAAAGCCCCGGGCUCAACCGGGGAGGUGCAUUCAGGACUGCGAGGCUGGAGUGCGGCAGAGGGAGGUGGAAUUCCACGUGUAGCAGUGAAAUGCGUAGAGAUGUGGAGGAACACCGAUGGCGAAGGCAGCCUCCUGGGCCGACGCUGACGCUCAUGCACGAAAGCGUGGGGAGCAAACAGGAUUAGAUACCCUGGUACGUCCACGACCCUAAACGAUGUCGAC